rnacentral:rRNA from 1 species
UGAACGCUAGCUACAGGCUUAACACAUGCAAGUCGAGGGGCAGCAUUUUAGUUUGCUUGCAAACUGAAGAUGGCGACCGGCGCACGGGUGAGUAACACGUAUCCAACCUGCCGAUAACUCCGGGAUAGCCUUUCGAAAGAAAGAUUAAUACCGGAUAGCAUACGAAUAUCGCAUGAUAUUUUUAUUAAAGAAUUUCGGUUAUCGAUGGGGAUGCGUUCCAUUAGUUUGUUGGCGGGGUAACGGCCCACCAAGACUACGAUGGAUAGGGGUUCUGAGAGGAAGGUCCCCCACAUUGGAACUGAGACACGGUCCAAACUCCUACGGGAGGCAGCAGUGAGGAAUAUUGGUCAAUGGGCGCGAGCCUGAACCAGCCAAGUAGCGUGAAGGAUGAAGGCUCUAUGGGUCGUAAACUUCUUUUAUAUGGGAAUAAAGUUUUCCACGUGUGGAAUUUUGUAUGUACCAUAUGAAUAAGGAUCGGCUAACUCCGUGCCAGCAGCCGCGGUAAUACGGAGGAUCCGAGCGUUAUCCGGAUUUAUUGGGUUUAAAGGGAGCGUAGGUGGAUUGUUAAGUCAGUUGUGAAAGUUUGCGGCUCAACCGUAAAAUUGCAGUUGAAACUGGCAGUCUUGAGUACAGUAGAGGUGGGCGGAAUUCGUGGUGUAGCGGUGAAAUGCUUAGAUAUCACGAAGAACUCCGAUUGCGAAGGCAGCUCACUAGACUGUCACUGACACUGAUGCUCGAAAGUGUGGGUAUCAAACAGGAUUAGAUACCCUGGUAGUCCACACAGUAAACGAUGAAUACUCGCUGUUUGCGAUAUACAGUAAGCGGCCAAGCGAAAGCAUUAAGUAUUCCACCUGGGGAGUACGCCGGCAACGGUGAAACUCAAAGGAAUUGACGGGGGCCCGCACAAGCGGAGGAACAUGUGGUUUAAUUCGAUGAUACGCGAGGAACCUUACCCGGGCUUAAAUUGCAACAGAAUAUAUUGGAAACAGUAUAGCCGUAAGGCUGUUGUGAAGGUGCUGCAUGGUUGUCGUCAGCUCGUGCCGUGAGGUGUCGGCUUAAGUGCCAUAACGAGCGCAACCCUUAUCUUUAGUUACUAACAGGUCAUGCUGAGGACUCUAGAGAGACUGCCGUCGUAAGAUGUGAGGAAGGUGGGGAUGACGUCAAAUCAGCACGGCCCUUACGUCCGGGGCUACACACGUGUUACAAUGGGGGGUACAGAAGGCGGCUACCUGGUGACAGGAUGCUAAUCCCAAAAACCUCUCUCAGUUCGGAUCGAAGUCUGCAACCCGACUUCGUGAAGCUGGAUUCGCUAGUAAUCGCGCAUCAGCCAUGGCGCGGUGAAUACGUUCCCGGGCCUUGUACACACCGCCCGUCAAGCCAUGAAAGCCGGGGGUACCUGAAGCACGUAACCGCAAGGAGCGUCCUAGGGUAAAACUGAU